rnacentral:tRNA from 1 species
GGCGUAGCUCAAUGGUAGAGUGCUUGCCCCUCACGCAUGAGGCACUGAGUUCGAUCCUCAGUACCA